rnacentral:rRNA from 1 species
AUUGAACGCUGGCGGCAGGCUUAACACAUGCAAGUCGAGCGGAGAGAGGUAGCUUGCUACUGAUCUUAGCGGCGGACGGGUGAGUAAUGCUUAGGAAUCUGCCUAAUAGUGGGGGACAACAUUUCGAAAGGAAUGCUAAUACCGCAUACGUCCUACGGGAGAAAGCAGGGGAUCUUCGGACCUUGCGCUAAUAGAUGAGCCUAAGUCGGAUUAGCUAGUUGGUGGGGUAAAGGCCGACCAAGGCGACGAUCUGUAGCGGGUCUGCGAUGAUGAUGCGGCACACUGGGACUGCGACACGGCCCAGACUCCUACGGGAGGCAGCAGGGGGGAAUAUUGGACAAUGGGCGGAAGCCUGAUCCAGCCACGCCGCGUGUGUGAAGAAGGCCUUAUGGUUGUAAAGCACUUUAAGCGAGGAGGAGGCUCUUUUGGUUAAUACCCAAGAUGAGUGGACGUUACUCGCAGAAUAAGCACCGGCUAACUCUGUGCCAGCCGCCGCGGUAA